UGCGCAGGCGGGCCAUUAAGUCAGGGGUGAAAGACGGUUGCUCAACAAUCGCAGUGCCUUUGAUACUGGUGGUCUUGGGUGACCUUGAGGUAGGCGGAAUGGGGGGUGUAGCGGUGAAAUGCAUAGAUACCCCCCAGAACUCCGAUUGCGAAGGCAGCCUACUGGAGGUUAACCGACGCUCAGGCACGAAAGCGUGGGAAUCAAACA
rnacentral:rRNA from 1 species